UCCUACGGGAGGCAGCAGUGGGGAAUCUUGCGCAAUGGGCGAAAGCCUGACGCAGCGACGCCGCGUGAGCGAUGAAGGCCUUCGGGUUGUAAAGCUCUUUCACCGGUGAAGAUAAUGACGGUAACCGGAGAAGAAGCCCCGGCUAACUUCGUGCCAGCAGCCGCGGUA
rnacentral:rRNA from 1 species